rnacentral:rRNA from 1 species
GUUUGAUCUGCUCAGAUUGAACGCUGGCGGAUGCUUCCACAUGCAAGUCGAACGGCAGCACGGACCUGGUCUGGUGGCGAGUGGCAGAACUGGGUGAGUAAUGUAUCGGAACGUUUUCGUAGCGGGAGAUAACUACCGCCGGCGCCUUCGCCCUGCACCGCCUUCGGGGGAAAGCGGAGACCUUCGGGCCUCACUAUUAGAGCGGCCGAUAUCGGAUUAGCUAGUUGGUGGAGUAACGGCUCACCAGGCGACGAUCCGUAGCUGGUUUGAGAGGACGACCGAAAGCCACACCAAGGACUGAGACACGGCCAGACUCCUACGGGAAGGCAGCAGUGGGGAAUUUUGGACAAUGGAAACCCUGAUCCAGCCAUCCCGUGUGCGAUGAAGGCCUUCAGGUUGUAAAGCACUUUUGGCAGGAAAGAAGCUGGCACGGGAUAUGCCCGUGCAACUGACGGUACCUGCAGAUAAGCACCGGCUAACUACGUGCCAGCAGCCCGCUGAUGGCCAUCAGGAAUUAAGCGAUUAAUCGGAAUUACUGGGCGUAAAGCGUGCGCAGGCGGUUCGGAAAGAAAGAUGUGAGCAUCAGAGCUUAACUUUGGAACUGCAUUUUUAACUACCGAGCUAGAGUGUGUCAGAGGGAGGUGGAAUUCCGCGUGUAGCAGUGAAAUGCGUAGAUAUGCGGAGGAACACCGAUAGCGAAAACAGCCUCCUGGGAUAACGACGCUCAUACGAAAGCGUGGGGAGCAAACAGGAUUAGAUACCUGGUAGUCCACGCCUAAACGAUGUCAACUAGCUGUUGGGGCCAGCCUGGGCCUUGGUAGCCUGUGCGUGAAGUUGACCGCCUGGGAGUACGGUCGCAAGAUUAAAACUCAAAGGAAUUGACGGGGACCCACACAAGCGGUGGAUGAUGUGGAUUAAUUCGAUGCAACGCGAAAAACCUUACCCUUGACAUGUGGAAUCCCGAAGAGAUUUGGGAGUGCUCGCAAGAGAACCGGAACACAGGUGCUGCAUGGCUGUCGUCAGCUCGUGUCUGAGAUGUUGGUUAAGUCCGCAACGAGCGCAACCCGCGCCGUAUUAGUUGCUACGAAGGGCACUCUAAUGAGACUGCCGGUGACAAAACCGGAGGAAGGUGAAAUGACGUCAAGUCCUCAUGGCCCUUAUGGGUAGGGCUUCACACGUCAUACAAUGGUCGGGACAGAGGGUCGCCAGCCCGCGAAGGGGAGCCAAUCCGAAACUUGAUCCGUAGUCCGGAUCUCAGUCUGCAACUCGACUGCGUGAAGUCGGAAUCGCUAGUAAUCGCGGAUCGGCAUGUCGCGGUGAAUACGUUCCGGGUCUUGUACACACCGCCCGUCACACCAUGGGAGUGGGUUUUACCAGAAGUAGUUAGCCGUAAGGAGGGCGAUUACCACGGUAGGAUUCAUGACUGGGGUGGAAGUCGUAACAAGUCA